rnacentral:misc_RNA from 1 species
AACGCAUAUUGCGCUCGAGCCCUCGGGCAAGAGCAUGUCUGCCUCAGCGUCGGUUUACACCCUCACCCCUCCCACUUUUGUUGGGUGUGUUGGCUUCUAUGCCAGCCAUAGGGGUGGAUCUGGCUUCCCCAAUUCGCUGUAGUGGAUUGGGUUGGCUGAAGUAUAGAGGCUUAAGCAAGGACCCGAUAUGGGCUUCAACUGGAUAGGUAGCACCGGCUUUCGCCGACUACACGAAGUUGUUGCUUGUGGAUCUUGCUAGAGGCCAAGCAGGAACGUGCCUUUGGCAUGUCUAAACUUUCGACCUGAGCUCAGGCAAGGCUACCCGCUGAACUUAA